UACUGGCAGGAUCAACCAGGUAGCAUUCCUUCGCGACGCCGACGCCCGCAUGAGGCCCGACGAGCCGUGCGGCCCUUGGACGCUCAAGACGGGCGCGGCAGUCGUUCGUGUCGAGGGACGAAAUGCGUUGCUUGGGCAAACGGAGGCCGAGAGACCCCGCACCCGCGCAUAACAUUCUGCAUCCGAGAGCACGGGCAGAGCAACUCAUGGGCCAAGGCAACCACGCAAGCGGGCGAGGCAUGCCAGGAACACGAGGCUCGCCUUGCGUCCACCCCACCACCCGCGAGGGC
rnacentral:misc_RNA from 1 species